rnacentral:rRNA from 1 species
UACGUAGGGACCAAGCGUUGUUCGGAUUUACUGGGCGUAAAGGGCGCGUAGGCGGCAAUUCAAGUCAGCUGUGAAAUCUCCGGGCUUAACUCGGAACGGUCAGCUGAUACUGCUUGCUAGAGUGCGGAAGGGCAAUCGGAAUUCUCGGUGUCGCGGUGAAAUGCGUAGAUAUCGAGAGGAACACCUGAGGUGAAGACGGGUUGCUGGGCCGACACUGACGCUGACAGCGCGAAAGCCAGGGAGCAAACGGG